GACGCCGGCCCGUGCGGACCCGAGGCGGCCGGCAGCUGGCGGCGCGGGCCGGGCCGGGGAGUCCCGAGCCCCGCAGCGACGGCGGCAGUGCCCCGGCUCGGCUGGCCCUGAUUGAUUUGUCAGCCGAAGGGAUCCGCGCGACGGGUCCUCGGCUUCCCCAAGCGCGAGGCCUCCCUUCCGCGCCUCGCCCGGCUCCCGGGCCGGUCCCGCAGGCUGGAGCUCCCCGCCCCCCGCCCCGGGCCCCGGCGCCCCUCCUCGGCCCCGCUCUCCGCGCCCCUCCUCCGGCUCGGCCGUGUUCGCCCGCGGGCCCUGGGGCUGCCCGCUGCCCCCUCGCCCCCCCUGGGCACCGUGCCAGCACCCCCAGCCCUCACCCUGCUGCUCCCCCCCCAGCCCCGCGCCCCCGCCCCUCGCCCCUCGGCCCUGGCCCGGGGCCGCCCGCCGAGCCGGCCACACCCGCGGCGGAGGACUCGGAAAGAUACACUUAGUGCCCCUUGGUGCAAUUGUGCAUGCCAUCACUUAAGAGGGAGGCAGGAUUUAUAACAAGGAGGCUUUGCAGAUGG
ensembl:lncRNA